rnacentral:rRNA from 1 species
AUGGUGGCCGCUGGAGUUUUGGUCGAGGGUCGAGAGAUCCGUCUCGGCGCUCUCAUCUUCAUCGCCGACGACUCCGCCUGGCUCCAGGAGGCUCCACUCGACGUUGAUGCGCUCCCCGUCCGCGGUGCGACGCAUUUUCGCGCAUGUGUCCGCGGCGUUCUGCUGCGGCAACCGUCGACCCCGUAUCGGUCGACAUCCCCAUCGACCACCUUCCUGGUCUCCCGCCAGCGCAAGCGCUCGGGUCGGUCGAGGAUUCAGCGGUGGGUGAGGCACGCGGUGGCUCGCCAGAUGGCCACCACCCAAGUUGCAGCAAUCGAGCCCGACGAAUCUCUCUACGGCCCGUUCGAUCUGUCGACUGGCUCCGUAGAGACCGCAUCCGAGUGCGAUAGCAGUGAUCCAGCGGCGGAAAUCCUGAUGGUCGACGGGCCCCGCAGUCCCCCUGGCUUCGACCGUGAUGGUGGAGCAGGCAACGGAGGUGACCCCGCACGAGAUCACGAAGAGUACCAGCCCGAGCCACUCGACUCUCUGCAAAGAGAAGAACUUCGCCGCAGGAAUGUGGAUGUCCUGCGUACUCCCAUCGCAGGAGAAACCCCCGAGGCUCGCGCCUUGGAGGAGGCACGUUUGGCCAAUUUGGCCGAACGCACUCGACUGGAGAAUCUUCAGCGAGCACUCGACGAGCGUGCGCGGCAACGAGUUCCCGACACCAGUCGACGUCAACUCUUCCCGCCGACUCAGGUAUAUCGAACCCCAAUCCAGAAUUUAGCAGCUGCGACCCGUAUAGCAGAGUCCAUCCAGCCCUCUCAGUCGGAAGCUGGCAGAGGCUUGAUGCAGAUCAGGGAUCUGCUCCGGGCAGCAGGAGAUCAGAAUUCGGCCGUGUCGCAGUCGCGCAACAGAAUUCACAGUCGAUCCGUCGCUGCGAAUACGGUUCAGUCGGCUCACAGCCCCAGAUCGCCUCCGCGGCGUGAAGGGCGUGAGAAUCGACGAGACCAACAUGGUGACCGACUCGACCGAGAUGAUAGGCGUCGAGUACCCAAUUCCCCUCCGAGAGAUGGGUCUUACGCUCCUCGGCAGCAAGAUGACAGACGUCAGCUCAGUGCGGGGCGAAGAGUUCUAGUCGACCCCAGAGAACCAGGCUUCGACGCGCGAUCCAUUAUCGUGCAAGGUUUGGUUGACCGGAACAGAGCCCAUCGAGGUGGACUCGACAGAGAUGCGCCCACAAGUAGUCGAGUGCAUGUUUCUGGUCCUGAAUGUUUCAGCAGAGCUACCAGAGCCGCAGUUAUCCCUCCCAAUUUCAGGUUGGCAACAGGAGUCAGCAAGUUCACUAGUGAGUCUAAGCUUGAAACUUGGCUUGAGGACUACCGAGUGGCAGUUCAGAUUGGUGGUGGGAACGAUGAGGUGGCCAUGAAGCAUUUGCCUCUCAUGCUGGAAGGUUCUGCCAGGGCAUGGUUGACUCAAUUACCUCCUAGCAGCAUUUACACUUGGGAAGAUCUGUCCCGAGUGUUCAUCAGAACGUUUGAAGGAACUUGCAAGCGACCAGCUGGACUGACAGAGUUGCAAGUCUGUGUGCAGAAGACCAAUGAGACUCUCAGAGAGUAUAUUCAGAGAUGGAUCACUUUGCACCAUACUGUGGAGAAUGUGUCUGAUCAUCAGGCAGUCUGCGCCUUUAAAGAUGGUGUCAAGAACAGAGAAUUGAGUUUGAAGUUUGGUCGAACCGGUGACAUGACCUUGAGUCGGAUGAUGGAGAUUGCUACCAAGUACGCCAACGGCGAAGAAGAAGACCGACUUCGAAGCGGCAAGCACAAGCCGAGUCAGUCGGAAAAAGGAAACACCAGUCGGAAACAGAAGCGGAAGGCUGAACCGGCAGCUCCUGGAGAGGCUCUGGCUGUGACUCAGGGAAAGUUUAAAGGGAAACCAAAAGGAUCCUGGAACCCUAACAAGGUAAAGGAUAAAGAAGGGAACGAUGUGAUGGAUAUGCCGUGUCACAUCCACACAAAGAAAGACGAAGAGGGGAAUAUCAUCUACCCGAAGCACACCACUCGCCAAUGUCGACUCCUGAUCCAGCAGUUUCAUGGAAAACAGUCUAAUAACAAGGAGAAGGAGUCGGACAAGGUCGAAGACAAGGAGGACAGUGAGGAAGGAUAUCCUCAUAUCAACUCUACUCUAAUGAUCUUUGCAGAUGUGGAGAGCAAGAGUCGAUUGAAAGUUAUUAACCGUGAGGUGAACAUGGUUGCCCCAGCAAAAGCAAACUAUCUGAAAUGGUCCCAAACACCCAUCACCUUCCACCAAUCUGAUCACCCGACUCAUAUUGCCACCCCUGGGAGGCAAGCUUUGGUGGUCGAUCCAGUUGUUGAAGGCACUCGACUGACAAAAGUGCUUAUGGACGGUGGUAGUGGGUUGAAUUUGCUGUAUGCAGACACACUGAAAGGAAUGGGCAUUCCGAUGUCCCGACUGAGCACCAGUAACAUGAGCUUUCAUGGAGUUAUACCAGGAAAGAAAGCCGAGUCACUCGGCCAAAUAGCUCUGGACGUGAUGUUUGGCGAUUCGAAACAUUUUCGCAAAGAGAAGUUGACGUUCGAGGUCGUGGAUUUUCAGAGUGCAUAUCAUGCCAUUUUGGGGAGACCAGCUUAUGCACGAUUCAUGGCUCGACCAUGUUACGUGUACCUCAAAUUGAAGAUGCCCGGCCCCAAAGGAGUGAUCACUGUCACCGGUGAUCGGAAAAAGGCAGAAGAGUGCUUCCAGAAAGGCUCAAAGAUUGCUGAUUCCCAGGUGACAGCGGUCGAUUUCGAAGAGUACAAGCAAAACGCAGAUCCGAGUGACUUGCUGCGAUCCAAGAAACCCGCCACAGAGUCUGCAUUUCAGUCGUCCGGUGAGACGAAGCCUGUUCACAUUCACCCGACCGACCCCGAUGCAGCUCCGACCCACAUCUCCACAACACUCGACCCGAAAUAG